GACGAACGCUGGCGGCGUGCUUAACACAUGCAAGUCGAACGGACAGGCCAUGCUUUUGUGGGGUGCUCGAGAGGCGAACAGGUGAGUAACACGUGAGUACGCUUCCCUUAACUGUGGGAUAACUUCAGGAAACUGGGGCUAAUACCAGAUAGGAGCUCCUGCUGCAUGGUGGGGGUUGGAAAGUUUCGGCGGUUGGGGAUGGACUCGCGGCUUAUCAGCUUGUUGGUGGGGUAGUGGCUUACCAAGGCAUUGACGGGUAGCCGGCCUGAGAGGGUGACCGGCCACAUAGGGACUGAGAUACGGCCCAGACGCCUACGGGAGGCAGCAGUGGGGAAUAUUGCACAAUGGGCGGAAGCCUGAUGCAGCAACGUCGCGUGCGGGAUGACGGCCUUCGGGUUGGAACCCGCUUUCGCCUGUGACGAAGCGUGAGUGACGGUAAUGGGUAAAGAAGCACCGGCUAACUACGUG
rnacentral:rRNA from 1 species